rnacentral:piRNA from 1 species
UGGUCCCAACGGUGUUUUAUACUUCGGGC